AGAUCAUACGCCUAGAUCUCGCUCCACAGGGCCCGGUCCCACUCCUGGUGGUAGUGCAAAGAAGCAAGAUCAUACGCCUAGAUCUCGCUCCACUACCAGAGGGCCCGGUCCCACUCCUGGUGGUAGUGCAAAGAAGAAAGAUGAUGCAUCGGCCAUGGAUCCCAGACACCCUGUUGGCAGUGGUAAAAAAAGAAAAGGUCGUGCAUCGAGCAGAGAUGGUGGGCAGGAUCCUGAUUGGCAGGAAAGUGACUGGCAGCCACACAAGAUCCCCUUCAGUGCAAGACCUGGUCCGCAGAGCGCUGCUGCAGAGCUGACUUCUGAAUCGCCAGCAGACUUCUUUGAGCUCUUCCUAACUGAUGAGCUGUUAGGCCACAUUGUGGAGCAGACAAAUUUGUAUGCACGUCAAUAUUUUGAGGCCCACCCCUACACUCCCCCACCACACAGUAGGCAAAACGCAUGGAAACCGGUGUCAGUCCAAGAAAUGAAAUCAUUCUUUGGGCUAACAUUCCUCACUGGCUAUGUAAAAAAGCCAAACUUGGAGCUUUAUUGGAGCGUAGAUGAGGUUGAUGCCACCCCGUAUUUCUCCAAGACUAUGUCACGAAAUAGGUUCCAGCUCAUAUGGAGGUUCCUUCAUUUCAAUGACAACAGAGCCCAGGAUUA